CACGUAGGGUGCGAGCGUUGUCCGGAAUUAUUGGGCGUAAAGAGCUCGUAGGCGGUCUGUCGCGUCGGCUGUGAAAACCCGGAGCUCAACUCCGGGCCUGCAGUCGAUACGGGCAGACUGGAGUUCGGCAGGGGAGACUGGAAUUCCUGGUGUAGCGGUGAAAUGCGCAGAUAUCAGGAGGAACACCGGUGGCGAAGGCGGGUCUCUGGGCCGAUACUGACGCUGAGGAGCGAAGCGUGGGGAGCGAACAGG
rnacentral:rRNA from 1 species